rnacentral:rRNA from 1 species
GUCGAGGGGCAGCACGGUUUUCGGACUGGUGGCGACCGGCGAACGGGUGGGUGCCGCGCAUGAAACCUACCCACUACAGGGGGAUAGCCCGUGGAAACAUGGAUUAAUACCCCAUAAUACAGGGGGCUCGCAUGAGUCUAUUUGUUAAAGAUUUAUUGGUAGUGGAUGGGCAUGCGUCUGAUUAGUUAGUCGGUGAGGUAACGGCUCACCAAGACUGCGAUCAGUAGCGGGUCUGAGAGGAUGAUCCGCCACACUGGCACUGAGAUACGGGCCAGACUCCUACGGGAGGCAGCAGUAGGGAAUAUUGGUCAAUGGGCGAGAGCCUGAACCAGCCAUGCCGCGUGCAGGAUGACGGCCUUCUGGGUUGUAAACUGCUUUUAUCAGGGAAGAAAACGUCCAUGCGUGGAUAAUUGACGGUACCUGAAGAAUAAGCACCGGCUAACUCCGCGCCAGCAGCCGCGGUAAUACGGAGGGUGCGAGCGUUGUCCGGAUUUAUUGGGUUUAAAGGGUGUGUAGGCGGUGCUUUAAGUCAGUGGUGAAAGCCCACAGCUCAACUGUGGAACUGCCAUUGAUACUAUUGCACUUGAGUACGGACGAGGUGGGCGGAAUUUAUGGUGUAGCGGUGAAAUGCAUAGAUACCAUAAAGAACACCGAUAGCGUAGGCAGCUCACUAGACCGUAACUGACGCUGAGGCACGAAAGCGUGGGGGAGCAAACAGGAUUAGAUACCCUGGUAGUCCACGCUGUAAACGAUGAAGACUCGCUGUUGGGCGAUAUACAGUCAGCGGGCAAGCAAAGCGUUAAGUCUUCCACCUGGGGAGUACGAUCGCAAGAUUGAAACUCCAAGGAAUUUGACGGGGGUCC